UACGUAGGUGGCAAGCGUUGUUCGGAAUUAUUGGGCGUAAAGGGCGCGUAGGCGGUUUGUUAAGUCGGUCGUGAAAUCCCGAGGCUCAACCUCGGGUCUGCAGUCGAUACGAGCAAACUAGAGUGUUGCAGGGGAGACUGGAAUUCCUGGUGUAGCGGUGAAAUGCGCAGAUAUCAGGAGGAACACCGGUGGCGAAGGCGGGUCUCUGGGCCGUAACUGACGCUGAGGAGCGAAAGCAUGGGGAGCGAACAGG
rnacentral:rRNA from 1 species